UGAUUAAAAACUGACUUGUGUGGGAGCUGUGAGGAGCUCCUUAAACGCUAAACAAGAUUCUUUUCUUGGUGGGAGGGGGAGCUACGUAAGGAGCCUCUGGCAUAGGUAUUUUCACUUUAAGAGGCGAUGAAUUCAGGGACCUGGGAAAGGUUUAAACAUGAGUCUUAAAUUAUUUGCUCAGCUUUGAUUUUUAUUUUACAAGAUGCCGGGGCAGUGCUGGGAGCUAUUUGCAGAAGGGGUGCAUAAGAGAGAUGAAGAGAGACGAGAAGUGGAUUUACCCAGAUGUUGCCUCGUAGAAAAAAAUAUGUGUGCGCUGGGCAGGGGCUUGCUUCUCUAAUGUGCAAGCAUGAAGAACUUCAGGUUCUGCCCCGGGGCUCACUGGAGGGAGAUUUGAUUUCUGUUCUAGCAAUUUUGUCCCUCUGCCAGUAUACAUUGAGCUAAGUCGUUAUUGAGAAUGGCCCCUCUUGAGGAAGAGAAAGAAGACCAGCUAUUUAUAGGCUGGAGUCAGACGCGACCCACCUUUUCAGCCUGUAAUUUACAGUCUAUGAUGAGAAAAUGAACUUCUAUUGCAGCGGGAAUGUGGAAGGACAGAAGACAGAUUUCUUAGCAGCUUGGGGUUUGGCUUGUGUACUUACGGAAUGACUGUGAAAAUGGCCAUUCCUUCGCCAGGAGACUGCUUUCACUGAUCCGCAGUCACCGAUGCCAAGGGUGCCUACGCCCUGUCUCUUUUGGGGACUGAUGGCAUCUUUAGGGCUAGGCGUGUGGUGGAGGGAAGAGAUUUUGCACCUGAGAGACAAGAAGAGGACCACAGGGAAAACUGAGAAGGGAUGCAGUGUUUUAUGAUUUAAGGCGGUGCUCUGGUUUUACAAUGCAGUAAACGUGACAUUGAAGAGAUCUGUUAAUGGGAGAGGGGUAUAUUUGCUUCUUGAUUGUAGUCUUGGCCAUUGUUUGGGCUAGAGCUCCCCGGCUUGAGUCAGAAACCCUUGAUGAAGUUCAGAGACUGAAGACAGCUUUUCAUCUCCCAGCAGCCUGUGUUUCUCAAGCUCUCUAGAGAUCAUGCAAAGCUCAGCUGCAGCUCAGGUGCCCCAGUCUUCACCAUCGUCUCUGGAUUUUGGUCUCCAACAUCUUCAGACUUCCAGGGCAGACUCUUGAACUUCUGACAGCCUCGCACGGGGAACUCUGCAUCAGCUUUCAUCCUUUGACUGCUGCGGGAUCUCGGGCCUUGCAGUAUGCAGAGCACCCUAACUGAUCCAAGGAAGCUGACAGAUCUCUAAAGACGGCUUCCACUGGGGAGAAGUUUGAGGAGCAGCCCUGUCAGGCUGUCUGGCUGCAUGAGGAAAGCAGGGCAGGAGAGUGAGAAAUGCAAAAGGAGACCGAAGACCUCCCCCAGGCUGACUCACUCCGCCCAUUCGGAUGCUGAGACUUCCACACACUGCUGGCAGUAGAGGCUGGUGGGAAGAAGCCAGGGCACCGUGGGUAGAUCCCCACAGAAGCCACCCGGAGCUCGUAAUCAGAAAAUUGGAGCAAUACGCGGGCUACUCUUAGAGUUCUGAGAGCUGCUUGUUAACCCUUCCGUUGAGGAGCAGGAAGCCAUCCAUGACGUGGAAUUUGACCUUCAUCUGCUGCUGAAGAAGAUGAGACAAAGUCAGGACUGACUACCAUCAGAGAGACCAAUGUCGAGUCUUCACCCUGAGGCAAAGUGGAGGGAAAGAGACCAAUCGAUGUGAGGUGCAGAAAUCCUAGGAGACACAAGAGCCGCUGUACCUGAGGAGCACAGAGGAUCCCUUACUACCUGGAGAGGCCCCUCACCCGAAGCCAACGGUGAUAAGACAGGAAAGCAAUGAAGUGUGCUGUGCUGCGCCAUCGCCGACUGCGUGGAGGACCGUUCCUUCUGACAGUUAGCGUGUCCAGGCUCAGACGCUGACUCACUGUGAGAGUAGCAGUCGCCUGAUCUCUAAUGGAACUCACCCUGGGUGGGAAACUAAUGAACACCCAGAUUGCACUGUUCAGUGCACAGAGCUCUGCGUACAACGCGGGUCUGUCUGACUGCAGGGACAGUGCCAUCAAUCUGGUUCUUCGUAAAGUCCUCUGGACUACAGUGGGACCACAGGGUGGGGUGGAACGUGCAGGGCAAAACCCAGCUCCCAGUGUUCCUGAGACGGAGAUGACUUCCAAACUGGGUGUAAGGGUGUUUUUGUUGAAUGAUGCACCGUCUGUUUCUCCUCCUUACUCCACCAGCAUGUUCUCAGCCCAUUGUGCCCCUCGCGAACACUUCCCCUACAAAGAAACCAUGGCAGCUUUGGAACUUGGAACCAGGCUAAUCCUUGGGUCUCAGGCAGGGAGCUCAGGGAGCCUUGGCUUUGGAGUAGCCUCUGGGGUGCUUACCGAAGCCUGCUGGCCUGCCUAGAGCUUGGUCUUUUGUGGCAAAAACUAGGUCUGAGGUCCACUUGGGGCAGAGAUCAGGAGUGCCCGGGACUCUUGAGCUACUCUUCUCCCAUGUAAUCAAGAGGCUCAAAAAUAGAGAACAUUAUCGGAUGUUUAAUUAUUCCCUUGCUGGGCUGCCUCCCCAGCUGGGACCCUGGCAGUACCAGUCUCAGUAUGAAUCACAUUUCAUCAGUGUAACUGCAGGGCUUCAGGGAUCAUUUUGGAAUACUAGGAUGUUAAUGCAUCAGGUUUUGUUCCAAGCAGUGAGCUACCUCCUGGGAUUUGGGAAUCUCUCUUUUAAUCUAGAUAGCACUAAUGAGCUAGUAAGGACUCCUGACCCUCUUGACUCACUCCCCGUGUCCCAGGAGAGCUCCGAGUGCUAGAAUCAGCCACAUCCGCACUGUCCCACAGCCAGCCCUGAGCCUGAUACAGCUUCAGGCUGUCAGUGUGACCAGUUCCACUUGGAAGCAUUCUAACUGCCUAUGAUCCUUCUUUUCUUUCAAAUUACUGACUAAACAGAGCUCUGCACACCCGUGCUCUGGUUAUCUUGAUGUCAGUGGCAGCAUUGUUGUCUUCUAUAAUGGAAUUUGGCAAGGAGUUGUCGUCAGAUUCCAUCCCCAAGCAAUGAAUAUGCUGGGAUAUGGAGGAGAUGGCCCUUGAAGGUGAAGGUGGUUUGCUAUGGACUUUCCAAGCCUCAUGGGGUCACAGGAGGGGCUGUUUAAGAGGUGGCUGCAUCUAGAGUGUGUGAGGAUGGGACUGAUUCCUGGUGCAAUGCUAGGCUCAAGGGCACUAGGAUUAGGGCUGUGAGUGCUCCUGCCCUAAGUCUGCAUAAGAUAAAAGGGGCAAAAAGUCUCUGUUGAGGUCCCUUGUCUCUUUUGCUAUCUUCACCUGAACUGUUUCUCUUCUCUGUGAUGCCCCCCUGCCAUGUGCUUUGGAGCAGGACAACUCUAGGCAGAAAAUUCUAUGACCUAUGAGCUAAAUAAACUUUUCCCUGUUUAA